rnacentral:rRNA from 1 species
GUCCACGCUGUAAACGAUGUGUGCUAGACGUUGGGGAGCCUAGCUCUUCGGUGUCGCAGCUAACGCUUUAAGCACACCGCCUGGGGAGUACGGCCGCAAGGUUAAAACUCAAAGGAAUUGACGGGGGCCCGCACAAGCGGUGGAGCAUGUGGUUUAAUUCGACGCAACGCGAAGAACCUUACCAGCCCUUGACAUGUCCGGUAUGGGUGGGGGAGACCCCACUCUUCAGUUCGGCUGGCCGGAACACAGGUGCUGCAUGGCUGUCGU